GGUGCAAGUCAUCCUGAUUUCAUAGAAAUUGAGAAAGCAAAGGAAGCGCUGAAAGAGCACGAACAAGCUCUAGUUGAUGCAAUUGCGAGGCUUGAAGGUGCAUCUGACGGUGAAAGUGCAAGAUGAAUCUAUAGUUCCAAAAAUAAAAGGAAACUCGUAACAUAUGGAAAUGCCUUCAACUCCAAAAGAGUUAUAUUUAUUCUAUAUUUAUAUUCAUUUGAUUGGAUUCAAAGCAGAUGAAGAGCAUCCUUUCUCACAAGGGCAGUCAAUGGAUCAAGAAAGAGCGUGGACAAAUAGGUCGUACAAUGAUGAGAUGGGUAAAGGUAGCGUCUGAUGGCGCAAUAAAAUGAUGGGAGGUAUCCAUAAUUUGUGUAGCAUAUUUAACCAGCUUAGUAUGUACAUCAGCUGUAGUUGCAGAUAUAACUGAACAAAAUGCGUUUCGUAAUAUUGUUGUAAUCUUUGAUGUAAACAGCCAUUUCUUUGGUUCCUAGUCCUCUUUAGUUAGCAGGCUAUUGUAACUUUAAUCUAACUGUAGAUUAGGAAAAUGUUCUGUAUAAAGUUUUAAAAUAUUACUUGUGAAUCUCCUUGGCUGUGUGAAAAUUUUAAUUCAUUUUGUUUGCA